AAUGAUGAUGAAAUUAUUUUCAGGAUAUUUUUGUUGGGGCGACACAGAAACAAAUCAUAACUUUCUGGAAAAUACAUGACGAUUUUUAUAAGAUCGGAGAAAUUACCUGAGGGAUAACAGCAUAAUUUUAUAGUUUAGUUUGUGACCUCGAUGUUGGACUAGGAAAUUAAUAGACUAGCCGUUUAUUAUAUUGGUUCUGUUCGAACUGUUUUUCCU
rnacentral:rRNA from 1 species